UCUCUUCCCUUCCGGAAGCUCUGGGAAAUACAGCCUUCUACAUUUCUGAGUAAACCCCUCAGAGACAGAAGACAAAUCCGACCAGACCAGCGAGCCAAUGCUGCCCCAGGUCCUAUUAGCAGAGAUAGAGAUUCCAGACCAAGGGAGGUGCCCCAAACGCAGGAGCUGAGGAGUGGAUGGACACAGUCCUGAUGGACAUGGACACAAAGAGGGGAGCAGAACCCAAAGUGACACACAGACAUACGGGCUCAGAGGGAGUUAGGCGAGCUCUUACUACUCUUGUGACAAGACCCACCAGAGGGAGAUGGAAC